rnacentral:rRNA from 1 species
GUGAGUAAUCUGCCCUUGGCUUCGGGAUAGCCACCGGAAACGGUGAUUAAUACCGGAUAUGACCACUUCGUGCAUGCGAUGGUGGUGGAAAGUUUUUCGGCCAGGGAUGUGCUCGCGGCCUAUCAGCUUGAUGGUGAGGUAAUGGCUCACCAUGGCUUCGACGGGUAGCCGGCCUGAGAGGGUGACCGGUCACACUGGGACUGAGACACGGCCCAGACUCCUACGGGAGGCAGCAGUGGGGAAUAUUGGACAAUGGGCGGAAGCCUGAUCCAGCAACGCCGCGUGAGGGAUGACGGCCUUCGGGUUGUAAACCUCUUUCAGUACCGACGAAGCGCAAGUGACGGUAGGUACAGAAGAAGCACCGGCCAACUACGUGCCAGCAGCCGCGGUAAUACGUAGGGUGCGAGCGUUGUCC